AUGUACGCAGUCAUCUGGUUGGAAAGGCAACUUAUCACAUCUGAUCCCACAAAAUGGUCACCCUCAUCAUCUGUCAACUGGCCAUCAUCAGCGGUAUGGUCAGUCAAAUCUGUUAUAGAUACAUCCACCUCUUCCUCAGGCAAGUCAAGCAUGGAGACACAUGUGUCGAGGAUGUUGGAUAUGAUGGUGCUGGUUUCUGAUGAUAAGAGUGAGUCGGACGGUAUGACCAACUUGUGCAAAUAUUACAAGAUCCUUGAAUUUGAGGAUGAGAAGGUGUUGGGCAAGAUGACUGCUGAGAAUUUAAGGAUGUAUUACAAAUUUCGUACGGAGCUAUUAAAGAUGGAAGCCAGCUUAUGCGAGUUCCGGGAGCAGAAUGAAAAGGAUGACCUGAGGUGGGAGCAGGAUAAAAAGGACGCACUGAGCUGUUGCAGAACAGACCCGACCCCCUUCUCACUUCAGGACGCAGUAGGGGAGGAGGGGGAGGAGGAGGAGGUGACAGAAUUCACAGAAUCAGACAAAGAGGAGAUGGAGAUGGAGGACAGGUUGUUUUCUGGAAAACGUGAAGUCUGGGAAUCCGCAUGGGGAUGCUAUGGUGAAUUUGAAGACAGUACCGCAGUGAGUCCUAUGCACUUUACACAUUGCACGCCGGGACUGAUCCCGUACGCCGCUCGCUCUGUGAGCACCUUGCAGAUCUACUCCUUGAAGAUUGUUGGAACAGAUGGAAAGUUGAAGUUACCACUCCAUGUGUAUGGUGUUGUUGCUGCCCGAGACACCGUGGACUGCAACCGCAACAUUCUCUUCUUUAGGCGAAGGGAAGACUGUCAAAAACUCACUCCAGAGGAUCCAUUUUUGCACUUGACUGGCCCGUCCCGUGCCAUCGUGGCUGUGGACCAUGUUGACUUCGAAGUCCAACUGAAAGUAAAGGGUGCAACAAGGUACAGCGACAAAGCAUUGAUCAGUCAUUGCUGCACUUAUUCUGGUGGUUAUCAUGAAGGUUUAGAUACCGCUCUCAUCAGCAACUACUUUUGCACGGUAGAGUUAAGCUUGGAGCGACUCACAAAGACAGUCCAGGCUACCAUCUUAAGUGUCCGUGUUGUUGAAGGGGGACCUUGGCCUUUUGAAUAUGGUGGUCGGAUUGUGUGCUCCUCACCACCACAGGAAGUUAUGGACUCCCUGGCCAGGCAAGUUGUGUUGGUUGAUUCUCGUUCUUCUGAUGGUGGAGAAAUGCCAAUGGGCACAGAUGGCUACCUUGAUCUGUCAAGGCAUGUUGUUUCUGUAGAACUGGAAGAAAGCCUGCAAUUUGUUAUACAAGCCUACUCGCAGUCUGGUGAUGCUAUUGCUAGACAAGGUCAUGUCAAGUUCAGGGCCGAAUAUUGCAAUGUAAGUCGAGGUAUAUGUGAGAUUGGUGACUCUAAGGUGGAGAUUACUGUUGCUUGGUCCAAACUUGUUACCAAAAGGAUGGAUAUCCUCUUAGAAGGACAUGUUUGA
rnacentral:rRNA from 1 species